rnacentral:lncRNA from 1 species
GAAGUCAAAGUCCUUCCCUCUGUGUGUGGACUUCAGUGGAACUCUCAGGUCACAGAGAUUCAGGGUGGUCAGAGGCGGUUUGAUGUUUUGGGGAGAAAGAACAGCCGUGAAGGAUUCUGUGAUGCAGGAGAAGGUGGGAGGCCUCAGGACAGAAUCAGCAGGUCACCAUGCUUUCCUGCGUCAUCCACCUGUGGGCCUCUAAUGUGUUUCUAUGAAGUUUGCAUUAAAGUUUCAGCCACUAUUUUUCAGAAACAUGGUCAACCUCUCCUUCCCUCCUCUAUCUGCUGAUAGAGUUCUACAGAAAACAAGGGAAUGACUUGAGGAGGACUAAGCCAGUGGAUCACAAACAUCCUGGAGAGCAGUGACUCUGUGAUUCCAUCACAAGAAUAUGAAGGACUGAGAAGAUCUCCAGCUCUGCCCAUUGCACCUUCCCAUUGAGAAGCAGCAUGGCACCCUGGUGGCAGGGGCUGAUACUCAGCCGGGCCAGGGUGCUCUCCUGUUAACCAUAACCAAGCUCACAGGACAUGGGAUGAGCCCACUGUGUGACACAGGGAGCGGGACACAGUCUGUUAAGUCUUGCACAGCCAUGCUCUGCCACGCAGGCAGGCCUUUCCUUGGCCUCCCUCUCCCUGUUCGUGCUCAUGUGAACAUCCACCUACGUGGAUAGACUGGGCUUUGGUUCAUUAUUGCUCUGUGAAUUCCUCGAACUUCCGCAUCUGCCCAACCUCCCCCACCCCAUUGUUUUCAUUGUGUUUCACCAAAUGGAAAUUCUAGAGUAAGCAUGUGAGUCCUCUCCCAAACUUGUUCACUGUUGAGAGUGCUAAAAUGCUAACCCCAGAUGCUAACUGAGGGGUAGGGUUACCUUAUCUUUAGAGCACUGCGAAUUGUAUGUUAAGUGGAACUUAAUGAAAAAAUAGUUAAUUGACCAACAUGAAUAUCCCCUGAACAGAAUCUCCCCUGAACAGAAUCCUACAAUGAAACUAAGGGAGAUAAAUAAAGCUGUUUACCUGAAAGCUCUCUCUAAUCAAGAUCCUUUGAAAUUUAUAAAACAUGGUCAAUAUUUGCACUGGACUUUGUAAAAAUAAAGCUUGAUAAGAGAAGAGUUUGAAGUGAAA